rnacentral:tRNA from 2 species
GGGCCUAUAGCUCAGUUGGGAGAGCGCUGCGUUCGCAAUGCAGAGGUCAGGGGUUCAAAUCCCCUUAGGUCCACCA